rnacentral:rRNA from 1 species
AGCAGCCGCGGUAAUUCCAGCUCCAAUAGCGUAUAUUAAAGUUGUUGCAGUUAAAAAGCUCGUAGUUGAAUUUCGGGGUUAGUAGGUUGGUCGUGCCACUGGUACGUACUGGUCUCACUGACUCCUCCUUCCUGAUGAACUGUAAUGCCAUUAAUUUGGUGUUGCGGGGAAACUGGACUGUUACUUUGAAAAAAUUAGAGUGUUUAAAGCAAGCUAACGCUUGAAUACAUUAGCAUGGAAUAAUGAAAUAGGACGUUCGAUCCUAUUUUGUUGGUUUCUAGGAUUGACGUAAUGAUUAAUAGGGAUAGUUGGGGGCAUUAGUAUUCAAUUGUCAGAGGUGAAAUUCUUGGAUUUAUUGAAGACUAACUACUGCGAAAGCAUUUGCCAAGGAUGUUUUCAUUAAUCAAGAACGAAAGUUAGGGGAUCGAAGACGAUCAGAUACCGUCGUAGUCUUAACCAUAAACUAUGCCGACUAGGGAUCGGAUGAUGUUAUUUUUAAUGACUCAUUCGGCGCCUUACG